GUAACCUAAAAUCAUUGGAAUAAUUAUUCUUGCAUCAACAUUAAUGUACGUGCCAAAUAAUACGUGCAGUACACCUUCAUACGCUAUUGAUUAUUUCCUGUAAAUGAAGAAUUUUAAUAUAAUGUACAAAAUAUAUAAAAUUUAGCAUUAAAAUUGUCGCACAUAUAUUUAAAAAUUAAUUGGAUUAAAGAAUUUUUCAAAAUUUCUGAGAAUGUAAGGCCAACGUAAGAUUUUACACGGAACUAGUUUCCAUUUUCGCGCGUAAGACUACGUCAUAAAGACAGAGGAGGGGGUAUAGACAGCGUACUUCAGACGCGCAGCGUAGACUUCCCUUAGUCAUCUUACGACUGUGCUGUGAGGAGGGUGUUUUGCUCGGUGGUUUCAAAUCCUUUGUGUGCAGUUGUGUGAAUCUCUUCUGUAUUGUUCUACAACAAACAGGAGCCGGAUACAGUCUCACCGUUCGAGAUGGCAUUGGGACAAGCGGAGGGAGUUGGUGUUCGCAACGAUGCUGAAGCGUACUGCACGCUCGGGGACCCCAUGUUCUCCAGUCUCUGCGCCUUUCGUUGGCUUAGUUUAUAUAUUAUAUUGUAUGCAUUGGUUUGGUAAUAUACGUAAUAAUGAGCGUUCGAAGUAUGUUCGAAGAGUGUUUGAUCCGAUAUUUUUUAACUUCAGAAAUAUAUACUUUGCAUGUCUUAUAUUUUAAAGAAAAUUUGUAUAGUACAUUUUAGCUUGUAGAUUUAGUAGUAUCGUUUCUAAUAUUCGCUCCAUUAUUCUGUACGUCAAGAUUUUGUAUAUUUGCUUAAUGUUGAUUAACAGUUUUGUAGACUUUAAGAAAUGAAAUGAAAUUAAUAAAAUUUGGAAAAUGUUUACAAUUUUUCUGCAAUCUUCUAGUUCAUAUUAAUGGCAAAAGUGCUUUUCUGCCCCGCAUACUACACAUAACAAAAUUCUGUCGCAGGCAAGAGACCCGUACAUGUACCCAGGCUGUUGGCCGUCAUCGGCAACAUUAUUUGGCCUGUCUGUGUAUGAGAUAAGGAGCGACGAGAGAGGAUUGGUACGGCAUAAGGAAGGGGGGAAAUGUGUUUCUUUUUAGAAAAUCGUGCAUGAAGUUUUCUGGCUGACGAAUGGGUUGCACCAUGAUCAAGUUGUACAUAAACGUCUCAUCUCUCCACACUUCCGUAUCUUGAACAUCCAAGCAUCAACUAAUUCGAAAAUCGUCUGACGCGCGAUACUCAUAGGCUUAUUGUGACGAACUACAGCUAAUUGUAGCAAAUCUUAUUUGGUGGGCUCUAAUACCUUUCGUACGUUAUCUGGGCAAAUGUGUUUUCUCAUGUCCGGGAAAGUUUUUUCAUAGCUUGUACCACCAGGUUGUAUGGGAGUUGUCGAAGCACACAAGACAAGCCUCCGGUGAAUAUCAAUAAGGAGAGACAGCGCUAGGGGUAAUGGCCCCCCCUAACGCCAAUUCAAUAGUCAGGAAAUAUUAGGACUGGCUAGAACUAGAGAACGCGUGAAGGGGGUGCAACUGAAGUUAAUUCAUAAGAGAAUCCUGGAGCACCUCUGUCAUACGCGUCGGGUGGUCAUCGUGGAGUUUUAGUCGGUAAGAGUCCGACACUACUCUGCUGUUACGCAAUUACUGCAAAAGCGGAGUGUCCAUGAGGAUUUCUCCACGUAAAAAAAAAAAAAAAAAAAAAAAAAAAGGUUGUAUGUUAGUUACUCUGGCUUAUCAAUAUGCCCUGUUCAAUGUUGGCCAAGCUGAAUAAUGUCACAGGCCUCUAUCUUCCUUAAUAAGAGCUGUAGGGGAUCGAAUAAUGAGACUACCAAUAUGUGUACUCGUUAGUGUAUUUAAAACAGAUCUUGUCGCGAAACGAUAUCUAUACAGACGUUUAGUCACAGUUUAUACUGAAUCGUUUGCGAUCACGUUCGUUUAGUCAUAAUCGUCAGAAGAAGGUCAAAAGAUACAAAUUCGUCUUGUUUUACGGUUACACGUAGCGGCGCCAUUGUUUUCCCCGGAGUUUAUAAUUCCUUACAAUUCCUCUCGAUAUUCCGAAGCAAAACAACAACAUGGUUUGAAGCAAAUUCUAACUCUUAUGCCGCUACAGAGCUUUUUGAGGUAUGGAUAAAUUGAAUGCAUCUUUGUUGAGUCUAGAUGGUCCAGAAUGGCGAACUACCGCAAGUAGAGCAACUAAUCGAAAUAAUAGACACGCACAUAUACGUAAUAUGUUUAACAUGGAUAGGAAAUUGCUUUGAAAUUUAACAAUCAUUGCAAUAAUUACGUAGGUUCGGAAGUCGUAUUACUAGAUACUUAUUGUAAUAUCGUAAAGUAAUUCGAAUUAGAAAUCAGUUGAAAAUAGAGAAACCGUGUACGUCGUGUUUCUGUACUUCGUUUACAUGCAAGAGUGCCUACGUGAAUAAAGGCACGUAGUUGGUAGUUCUUACAUAGGUAUGAGGGAAACAAUAGACAACGUUAGAAGAAGGACGGUUUCGCUACGCAAGGCGAGUCGAAAAGUGUGCGUGUUGCGAGAAUCAGAGCUAAUUGAGUCGUCGAAGAGUAGAGUCGUUAGAGGUAUCGAGUCGUCGAAGAGUAGAGUCGUGAGAAUUGAUAGAGUUGUUAGAGAGAGAGAGAGUGUGUGUGUGUGUUAGAUUCGUUGUGACGAGAGUGGUCAAAUAACUGUAAAGUUAUUUGAUAUAGAUACGAGUAUUGCAUUUAGUUUCCGUUAAAUAAAUAUCGUUUCCUGUCCAAUUUAUAUUUGUAUAUUCAAUUUAAUAUUAAUAAAUUGUAAGUAAUCGGGAAAAGAUUUCUAUCCUUAUUUUCCGAUUUUACAUUAUUUUCACAGAUUUCAAUUCACUUAUUCAUUGAUUGAUAUUAGGACAAAUGAGGAACUUCGCAUCUAGUUAGAUUAACAAAUAAAAUGUAUUGUUCCUGAUAAAUGUUAUGCGGAAUAGUAUAGGAAAUAAAAGACUGGUUUAUAUUACCGUUCAAGUGACUGAUAGUAGGAAAGCAGUGAUGGAACAUGAGGCAACGUAAUAUAAAAUUGAAUCCCUGAGUAUAGCAUGCAGAUAAUAUUUUGAGUGUUGACGGAGGACAAAAUUAUGCACAUUCCUUUUUCGAUUCCGAGGAAAUACAUCAGCGAUGAGUCAGUUGUCAAAACACGAUGGAAAUUGCUCAUUGUCAAUUGAACAAGUUUGAUAUAAUUACACAAGCUUAAGAUUUAACUUGAAAUUUUUUUGAAGAAAUUUAUUUUUAUUAUACCUGAUGUCAAGCGCGGUAUUAAGUAUCAUGCUUUUAUAACUAUUGUUUUAAAUAUUUUUGUGUUGAAAUAAUGUCGUUUGGGUGUCUGUUUUGUACUGGAGGAGUACCCGAAAUAAUUAUACUCGUCGCGUACAGCUAAACAGCUACAGGCAGUUGUUUGUAUUCCUGGAACGCGUUGGAUUCGUGUUUGCAUGGUACGUUGAUUGGAAUGACUUAGAGGUGGGUUACUGGGGGUGCGAGUAAUUAUGUUUCAGCCAGGAUUGGAUAGAGAACGCGUUUAAUCGACGUUUAAAGAUCCGCUUAAAAUACACAUGCUCUGGUAGUUUCUAAUUGGAUCGUUAUAUAUGUCGUAUACUUUCUGCUAAAUCCGUUUUUGGGAGACAUUAAGUUGAAAAAGGUCAUAUUUUUAAAGAGGGGGAGA